UAGCUUUAAGUUUUUAUUUAAAGUUUUACCUGCCCGGUGAAUAUUUUAACGGCCGCAGUACUUUGACUGUGCUAAGGUAGCAUAAUAAAUUGGCUUUUAAUUAGAGUCGGGUAUGAAAGGGGCUUCGUAGAGUAACUGUCUCAAAAAUGUUUUAUUUUAAAUUAUUUAAUGAGUGAAAAUACUCAUAGAUUUUUUUAUUAGACGAGAAGACCCUUAGAGUUAUAAUUAAAAUGAUUUUUUUUUCAUAUUUCAUUUUUGUUGGGGCAACAAAGACUGGAUGUAACCGUCAAAAAAUUAUUUUACAUAACCAAUGUAUUUAAAAAGAAAUAAACUACCUUAGGGAUAACAGCAUAAUUAAUUUUUAGAUUGUGACCUCGAUGUUGGAUUAAGGACUUUGUUUACUAGCCGUAAAUAAAGAUGGUUCUGUUCGAACUGUGAUACCUU
rnacentral:rRNA from 1 species